GUAACACCCGAAGUCCGUGAGGUAACCGUAAGGAGCCAGCGGCCGAAGGUGGGAUUAGUGAUUGGGGUGAAGUCGUAACAAGGUAGCCGUAGGAGAACCUGCGGCUGGAUCACCUCCUUUCUAAGGA
rnacentral:rRNA from 1 species